rnacentral:rRNA from 1 species
UACGAAGGGGGCUAGCGUUGUUCGGAUUUACUGGGCGUAAAGCGCACGUAGGCGGAUUGUUAAGUCAGGGGUGAAAUCCUGGAGCUCAACUCCAGAACUGCCUUUGAUACUGGCAAUCUAGAGUCCGGAAGAGGUGAGUGGAACUCCUAGUGUAGGUGUGGAAUUCGUAGAUAUUAGGAAGAACGCCAGUGGCGAAUGCGGCUCACUGGUCGGGGACUGACGCUGAGGUGCGAAAGCGUGGGGAGCAAACAGG